rnacentral:rRNA from 1 species
UACAGAGGGGGCAAGCGUUAUUCGGAAUUAUUGGGCGUAAAGGGCGCGUAGGCGGCUUGGCAAGUGGCAGGUGAAAUCCCUCGGCUUAACCGAGGAACUGCCCUCCAAACUGCUUUGCUUGAGGCCGGGAGAGGUGAGUGGAAUUCCCAGUGUAGCGGUGAAAUGCGUAGAUAUUGGGAGGAACACCAGUGGCGAAGGCGGCUCACUGGACCGGUUCUGACGCUGAGGCGCGAAAGCGUGGGGAGCAAACGGG